rnacentral:rRNA from 1 species
GGGGAAUUUUGGACAAUGGGCGAAAGCCUGAUCCAGCCAUGCCGCGUGAGUGAAGAAGGCCUUCGGGUUGUAAAGCUCUUUUAGUCGGAAAGAAAGAGUUGCAAUGAAUAAUUGUGAUUUAUGACGGUACCGACAGAAAAAGCACCGGCUAACUACGUGCCCGCCGCCGCGGUAAUACGUAGGGUGCGAGCGGUAAUCGGAAUUACUGGGCGUAAAGGGUGCGCAGGCGGUCUUGCAAGUCAGAGGUGAAAGCCCCGGGCUUAACCGGGGAAUUGCGUGUGAAACUACAAGACUAGAGUGCAGCAGAGGUGAGUGGAAUUCCAUGUGUAGCAGUGAAAUGCGUAGAGAUGUGGAAGAACACCGAUGGCGAAGGCAGCUCCCUGGGUUGACACUGACGCUCAUGCACGAAAGCGUGGGGAGCAAACA